rnacentral:lncRNA from 1 species
GCUCUCAGCCAGCUUGCCUUCAAGAUCCUCAUCUAGACAAGGCUUAAAUUUGGCUUAACUGUUGGCUCCAGCAUUACCGUUUCACAAGGACGGAGGUGCAGCCUGUGUGGUGAUCCUUGCCAGGCGAAGGCACCAGGAAGAAUCCUUAUCCAAUGACGGGGACCCUAAAACUUGCCCGCACUCUUUUAACAUUUCUUACUUCAGGAGGUGUCCGGCCUCAGAAAAUGCUGCUCCAAAGUCCUUUGGAUGGAAUUGAAUGAGACCUAGAGGAUUCACAAGGAAUCUCCAUUUUGAAGAUGGUGGCAGAUUCAAGAUCAGAAGUCUCACAGAGAGGGCUCCUGCUGAACGCCUGGGAGAAGAAUAGACCAGAAGGAGGCUGGACACAGAGGCUGUGUGGGGCCACUCCAGCCUAUCACCAGGACACCUAAGCCUUCUGUCCAGUUGUGCUUUACACUGUCCUCCAGGCUUCCAAACAGUUUUCAUUGAGUCUUUGGAUGCUCAUUUCUGAAGCCACAUUAAAUCGAGGCUACUUCCUCUUAUUAACCUUUCUUUUUGUUGUUUGGAGACAGGGUAUGAUUAUGUAGCUUUGGCUGGCUUAGAAUUUAUCAUAUAGACCAGGAUACCCUUGAGUCCCUCCUUCCUCUGACUCCUAAAUCUGAGUGCUGAGACAAAAGAUGUGUGUCACCGCGCAUGGCAGCCUGUCUUUUGUUAUUAGGCAUGCUGGCUCUGCCUUUAUGGGGAGCAAGAAGUAUCAAACCUUCCUACUACAGAAGUCCCACGUUAAGGGAAAUCUAGAGUAAGCCUAGAUCAGAGAACGUACUAAUUACUAGCAUAGUUCUUUGACUCCAGGGAUAUGAAAAUGUCACCAUUUAAAACCUCAGUAGGGGACCACCUCAGUUUAACAUCAGGGAAGUGAAUGAAAUCUCAUACCGUAGGGUCAGGCACAGGAUGCUCAUAUUCAAGAACCCAGGACACAAUCACAUUAUUUAUAGACCAGCAAGAGCACAGGAAGAAAGAAAAAGAAGGAAGGGGCGAGGCAUGAAAGUAGUGAAUGGAGGCUGAACGGAGGAGGAAACACCUAGCAUAGGUCUUAGUUGCUCAGGGCUCCAUUAGCUGCGAGGUAGCAUGGCUUGCCAUGUCCUGAAGCUCUUGUGCUGAGAUUCUAUUUAUUCCCUCCCAGGUUUCUAAAGCCCUGAUUUGUAUUAAAAAAAACCAAAAAACAAAAAACAAAAUUGCACAGCCU